AUUUUCUGUCGGACUUUCCUCACUUAAUUAAGUGCCUGAGGAAUGGACUACUAAGGUCGGACUACGAAACACCUGAGGGCCGGGUAUCUUUACAAUUCGUACGCAAAGCUUUGGAACUGGAUGGUUGCAGUGUCACAUUGCAGGCAAUGCAUGGAAUCACCGGAAGCCACACGAACCCCAACAAUUUUGAAAAGAUGAGAGUAUCUUUAGCUUUUCAGCUUUUCGGAGAAAAAGUGAUUCAUGGUCUGCAGCUGUACAAGUCAGGAAUUGAAGAUACCUGUGGUGACAUCACAGCUACACUAAAGUUUUUCAAGAUCAUCCAUGACCUUGUGCAAAUGAUGACUUCA